AUUGAACGCUGGCGGCAUGCUUUACACAUGCAAGUCGAACGGCAGCGCGGGCUUCGGCCUGGCGGCGAGUGGCGGACGGGUGAGUAAUGCAUCGGAACGUGCCCAGUAGUGGGGGAUAGCCCGGCGAAAGCCGGAUUAAUACCGCAUACGACCUGAGGGUGAAAGCGGGGGACUGAAAGGCCUCGCGCUAUUGGAGCGGCCGAUGUCGGAUUAGCUAGUUGGUGGGGUAAAGGCUUACCAAGGCGACGAUCCGUAGCUGGUCUGAGAGGACGACCAGCCACACUGGGACUGAGACACGGCCCAGACUCCUACGGGAGGCAGCAGUGGGGAAUUUUGGACAAUGGGGGCAACCCUGAUCCAGCCAUGCCGCGUGCGGGAAGAAGGCCUUCGGGUUGUAAACCGCUUUUGUUCGGGAAGAAAGCCUCUGGGCUAAUACCCCGGGGGGAUGACGGUACCGGAAGAAUAAGCACCGGCUAACUACGUG
rnacentral:rRNA from 1 species